ACAUGGUCUUUUGUUUAUAUAAAAGAUCUGGCCUGCCCAAUGAUUAAUUUAAUGGCUGCAGUAUUUUGACUGUACAAAGGUAGCAUAAUCAUUUGUCUUUUAAUUGGAGUCUGGAAUGAAUGGUUGGAUGAAAAAUUUACUUUCUUUAUUUUAAAUAAAAAAAUUAUUUUCUGAAUUAAAAAAUUUAGAUUUUAUUAAAAGACGAGAAGACCCUAUAGAACUUUAUUUGUUUUAUAAUGUUUAUUUUUUAGGAAAUAAUUUAUAUUUAUUGUUGAAUAAAUUUUGUUGGGGUGAUAAAAAAAAUUUUUUAACUUUUUUUAUUUAUUACAUUUAUAUAUGAGUAUUUGAUCCUUUAUUAAAGAUUACAAGAUUAAGUUACCUUAGGGAUAACAGCGUUAUUAUUUUAGAGAGUUCAUAUUGAUAAAAUAGUUUGCGACCUCGAUGUUGGAUUAAAAUAAGUUUCAGGAGUAGAAAAUUGAAUACUAGGUCUGUUCGACCUUUAAAUUUUUACAUGAUCUG
rnacentral:rRNA from 1 species